AUACGUAGGGAGCGAGCGUUGUCCGGAAUUACUGGGUGUAAAGGGAGCGUAGACGGCAAAGCAAGUCUGAAGUGAAAGCCCCGGGCUCAACCCGGGAAUUGCUUUGGAAACUGUUUAGCUGGAGUGCAGGAGAGGUAAGCGGAAUUCCUAGUGUAGCGGUGAAAUGCGUAGAUAUUAGGAGGAACACCAGUGGCGAAGGCGGCCUGCUGGACGACAACUGACGCUGAGGCGCGAAAGCGUGGGGAGCAAACAGGAUUAGAUACCCUGGUAGUCCACGCUGUAAACGAUGAAUACUAGGUGUGGGGGGACUGACCCCCUCCGUGCCGCAGUUAACACAAUAAGUAUUCCACCUGGGGAGUACGAUCGCAAGAUUGAAACUCAAAUGAAUUGACGGGG
rnacentral:rRNA from 1 species